GACGAACGCUGGCGGCGUGCUUAACACAUGCAAGUCGAACGGAAAGGCCCUGCUUUUGUGGGGUGCUCGAGUGGCGAACGGGUGAGUAACACGUGAGUAACCUGCCCUUGACUUUGGGAUAACUUCAGGAAACUGGGGCUAAUACCGGAUAGGAGCUCCUGCGGCAUGGUGGGGGUUGGAAAGUUUCGGCGGUUGGGGAUGGACUCGCGGCUUAUCAGCUUGUUGGUGGGGUAGUGGCUUACCAAGGCUUUGACGGGUAGCCGGCCUGAGAGGGUGACCGGCCACAUUGGGACUGAGAUACGGCCCAGACUCCUACGGGAGGCAGCAGUGGGGAAUAUUGCACAAUGGGCGGAAGCCUGAUGCAGCAACGCCGCGUGCGGGAUGACGGCCUUCGGGUUGUAAACCGCUUUCGCCUGUGACGAAGCGUGAGUGACGGUAAUGGGUAAAGAAGCACCGACUAACUACGUG
rnacentral:rRNA from 1 species